UGGAAAUGCCAGCGGGGAAUGGGAGAGGGAUUACCCGAGGCCAGGCCGCUCAGGGAUGCGGCGCUGGGGGUUUCCACCAGCCUCAGAAACCCAGGCAGGUGUGGUCCCGGUGCCCCGCCUGGGGAUGACUCAGCGGGAAGAGAGCCGCUGGCUUCCAGGACCAACCCUUUCCUGCUCCCGGGGGCAUUCCCAGGGCGUCCACACAGCCGGCAGCCUCCCCCUUCGGGCGGAUGACCUGAGGUUGGCUCAGGCGGUUCGGUGCAGGUGGGGAGCCUGGCCGUGCUGACAGGGUGCCCCCGGGGUGGACAGGCUCUCUUUCCUGCCUCCCCCUUGCCCUGGCAUUCCAUGGAGCUGCGGUUGCCAUGUGAUUGGCCGGGGCUCUCCCAGGGCGGUACCUGCUUGCUCCCUGCCUGCGCUUCCUAAUUGCUUCACUGUCAGGGGUGAGGGGAGGCUGCCUUGAAAAGCACACAGCAGCCACCACCCCACCGCAAACAGAACCCCGCCCUCGAGCAACCAGGUAGUGCCUGCAUACACCCUGAAAGGGCGCGGGACCUCGAUACUGUAUUCGCCCGCAUCGAGACACGCCGGGGUUUUUCCUCUGCUUCGAAGCCUUGCCAGUUCACAGCUGGUCAGCAUUUCCCUUUAGGAAACUCUCAAGAUUUCCUGAGUAAAGGGAACCAGGGGAGAAGGGGAAAUAGAGAAAUCCCCUUUUAAGAAACUCCCUUGCUUCAUGCAAUCGCUCAACCACAACUUCCCUCAGGGGCCAGCCUCCCCAGCCCAGGACAGCCGCUGCCAGGGAUGCCCGCUUUGCAGAGUCUGAUCUCCAUAGCAACCCCAAGGCACAUUCUCACCUGCUGGGAGGGAGUCGCACCUGGGGCCUGGAAGCUCCCCUGGAGAUGCAGGUUUCCAUGGGAAGAUGAACAGUCUUGUUGCAGAAGCCAGAAUCGCCAGCCCUUUGAAGACCCCCAGCCCUUUGCACACCCGCAGGCCUCGCAAAUACCUGUAAACUGCCCACUUGGCAUCCCUCCCCCAUGGAAUCUUUGUGCUUCUACCCAAUAGAAGCAGCAGCUGACGAUGGGGGGCAGAGCAGAUGUCUGUGGCUGACCUGCUGCGCCCCCACGCUGCCAGCAGGAUUAGAAUCAACGCUCAGGUGAUU